rnacentral:rRNA from 1 species
GACGAACGCUGGCGGCGUGCUUAACACAUGCAAGUCGAACGGAAAGGCCCUGCUUUUGUGGGGUGCUCGAGUGGCGAACGGGUGAGUAACACGUGAGUAACCUGCCCUUGACUUUGGGAUAACUUCAGGAAACUGGGGCUAAUACCGGAUAGGAGCUCCUGCUGCAUGGUGGGGGUUGGAAAGUUUCGGCGGUUGGGGAUGGACUCGCGGCUUAUCAGCCUGUUGGUGGGGUAGUGGCUUACCGAGGCUUUGACGGGUAGCCGGCCUGAGAGGGUGACCGGCCACAUUGGGACUGAGAUACGGCCCAGACUCCUACGGGAGGCAGCAGUGGGGAAUAUUGCAAAAUGGGCGGAAGCCUGAUGCAGCAACGCCGCGUGCGGGAUGACGGCCUUCGGGUUGUAAACCGCUUUCGCCUGUGACGAAGCGUGAGUGACGGUAAUGGGUAAAGAAGCACCGGCUAACUACGUG